rnacentral:ncRNA from 1 species
UAAAAAAAAUUAUUAUAGUUUGAUAAUUCAUUUAGAGUUUAUUUUACAUAUAAAUUUUAGUGUUUAUAUAUAUAUAUAUAUAUAUUUUAAAAAUAUUUAUUUAAUUAAAGGUAGUAAUUUAUUUUAAAUAUUUAAGAAAUUAAGAUUUAGUAAUAUUAAAAUUAAUAACAAAUUUUGUGCCAGCAGUUGCGGUUAAACAAAAGUUGAAAUGAAUUUUUUUUUAGUUAGUUAAUAAAUAGUGAUAUUAAUUUUUAAUAAAUAUUCAAUAUUAAAUUUUUAGGUGAAAUUUUAAUUUAAUAAAAUUUUAUAAUUAAUUUAUGAUUUAAUAAAUUUGAUAUAAAACUAGGAUUAGAUACCCUAUUAUUAGAAUUUAAUGUAAAAGACUAAAAUAGUAGAUAAUUAUUUAUUGAAACUUAAAUAAAUUGGCGGUAUUUUAGUUCAUUUAGAGGAAUCUGUUUAAUAAUUGAUAAUCCACGAAUAAAUUUACUUAAUUUAUUUAAUUUUGUAUAUCGUUGUUAAAUAAAUAUUUUUAAAUAAAAAAUAAUAUUUAAAUAUUUAAAUUUUUAAAAUUAAAUCAGAUCAAGAUGCAGAUUAUAAUUAAGAAUAUUAAUGGAUUACAAUAAAUUUAUUUAAAUGGAUAUUAAUUUGAAAAAAUUAAUUUAAAGUGGAUUUAAAUGUAAUUUUAUUUAAUUUAAUAAAAUGAUUAUAAAUUAAAAUAUGUACAUAUUGCCCGUCGCUUUCAUAUACAUAUAUAUAUAUAUAUAAGAAAUUGAAAUAAGUCGUAACAAAGUAGAGGUACUGGAAAGUGUUUCUAGAAAGAC